AUACGGAGGGUGCAAGCGUUAAUCGGAAUUACUGGGCGUAAAGCGUGCGUAGGUGGUUUGUUAAGUUAGAUGUGAAAGCCCCGGGCUCAACCUGGGAACUGCAUUUGAAACUGGCAUACUAGAGUAUAGGAGAGGAAAGUGGAAUUUCAGGUGUAGCGGUGAAAUGCGUAGAUAUCUGAAGGAACAUCAAUGGCGAAGGCAGCUUUCUGGACUAAUACUGACACUGAGGUACGAAAGCGUGGGUAGCAAACAGGAUUAGAUACCCGAGUAGUCC
rnacentral:rRNA from 1 species